UGGCUCAGUGGUAGAGCGCUUGCCUUGCAUGCAUGAGGCCCUAGGUUCGAUUCCUCAG
rfam:Dipodomys ordii contig_3001, whole genome shotgun sequence.